UACGGGGGGGGCAAGCGUUGUUCGGAAUUACUGGGCGUAAAGGGCUCGUAGGCGGCCAACUAAGUCAGACGUGAAAUCCCUCGGCUUAACCGGGGAACUGCGUCUGAUACUGGAUGGCUAGAGUUUGGGAGAGGGAUGCGGAAUUCCAGGUGUAGCGGUGAAAUGCGUAGAUAUCGGGAGGAACACCUGAGGCGAAGGCGGGCUACUGGGCCGAUACUGACGCUGAUGUGCGAAAGCCAGGGGAGCGAACGGG
rnacentral:rRNA from 1 species